rnacentral:rRNA from 1 species
AACGCGAAGAACCUUACCUGGGCUCGAAAUGUUAUGGACCGGAGUAGAAAUAUUCCUUCCCAGCAAUGGGCCGUAAUAUAGGUGCUGCAUGGCUGUCGUCAGCUCGUGUCGUGAGAUGUUGGGUUAAGUCCCGCAACGAGCGCAACCCUUAUCCCCAGUUGCCAUCAUUAAGUUGGGCACUCUGGUGAAACCGCCUCGGAUAACGGGGAGGAAGGUGGGGAUGACGUCAAGUCCUCAUGGCCUUUAUGUCCAGGGCUACACACGUGCUACAAUGGCCGGUACAAACCGUCGCAAACCCGCGAGGGGGAGCUAAUCGGAAAAAGCCGGCCUCAGUUCGGAUCGCAGUCUGCAACUCGACUGCGUGAAGCUGGAAUCGCUAGUAAUCGCGGAUCAGAAUGCCGCGGUGAAUACGUUCCCGGGCCUUGUA